AUAAUGGAUCUAUGUCACACGGCUUCCAAGAGACUGAAGUUUUGUUUUUCCUUACAUUAUAUUUUAUUGAGUUGAAUUAUCUUAUUCAAAUCUUUGAUCGUAUUUUAAAAUGAGUGGAUCAUUGUAACAAUGAUGUCAUACACCAUUAAGCUACAUUUAGACGGUGCCUCUCUGCAUGCAAUGUUGUAUGCAGAAAGACGCAUGCCUCAAGGCGCAACAGCCGCAUGAAGCAUGCAACUUGCCCCUUAGUGUUCACACGUGGAGGACAUUGCAGAGAAUGCUGACACAAAGAGAGCUGUAUGCUGCUGUUUUAGCGGCAGCUACUGUUAUCAUUUCAAAUGAUAGAAGAAAAAGAAGGAAAAGGAAGUGUUGGAUUUGAAAAUAUUUCGAUCGUUUGUAGACUUCAUCAGCAGAAGAGCCACUUUUUUUUAACACUUUGGUGUGUUUCUGAUGAAAAUAUGAUCUGAAUCCUUUAGUUUUAUUUAAAAUAGAUUUUGUAUCCAUUUGAUAUUUUUUCCCUAAUUCGUGAAUAGCAUCGCGCUUCCCGGU
rnacentral:lncRNA from 1 species